UACUUGGCUGUGCAAAUCCUCUUCUGUAGUAUAUGCUUUCUGGUGGACACUAAUAUGGAACACAAAGAUCUUCUCACAUUGCAGCUGCUCCCAUAUAUCCAUUGAUAUAUGCCUCUAACUCCAGACCUUUUUGUCCUUAAUCUUCUAAUCCGGUUAUCUCUUUUCCUUUAGUGCAAUUUUUCCUUAUUUGUUUGUUUUGUUUUUUUUUUUAAGUAAAUAGCUAGGCUUCUAAGCCCUACCACAGAGAGUCAACAGACAAACUGCCCAGGGAAAAGUUAUGACCUCAGGCAAAGUGAAUUUCUACAGCUAAGGCAGAUCCUGAAGAAGCUCACAAAUAAAGGCUGCAUACUCACACAUUCCCUGAAGCUUGACAGUGCCAGCCACCAUACUGUGAGGGAGCUGAAGUAAGCCCACAUGAGGAAGAAUUGAGGUCCCAAGCCAACAGCUGCAGCUAAGAUCCAAGCUCUCAACCAGUACCAGUUCAUCCGUUAUGCACACUAAGAUAUGGAAGCUAAAAGAGGACUAAGAGGAUUCUGGGGAUAUUACAAGAUAUUGCAGACUAUCUUGUUUUCCUGGAAAAGGAUUUUACCUCAGUCGACUGAAUUACUUUUUUCACUGUGUCUUGCCACUCUUCGUGCAUGCAUCAAAGACCCUAAUAUGACUUCUGGUGGCCUGGGACUCCUUGGGAAAACAGAAAAGGGGCCACAAAUCCCAUUUUGGGAACAAUCUGUUUUACUCAUGGAACCCCUGGAAUUAGAGAAACCAUCAAGCUUUAAAUGGUGUGGCAAAAGGAGCUGAAAAUUAAACUGACCUUCUACUGCAUACCCUUAAAUUGACCCAGGAGGAGCCCUAGCUGCUAUUCCCAUGCCACGCCCCUCUCCAGCAGGAAGUAGCCAGAGUAAGUCGACGCCCAAUUCCCCGUAACAGCAGUUAGGAAUUUCAUUCCUGAGGGGGGUGUUUGUUAUAGGAGAUAAAAAUAAAUUAUUUGGGUAGACAGAGUAAA
rnacentral:lncRNA from 1 species